rnacentral:rRNA from 1 species
CAGCCGCCGCGGGAAUACAGAGGAUGCAAGCGUUAUCCGGAAUGAUUGGGCGUAAAGCGUCUGUAGGUGGCUUUUCAAGUCCGCCGUCAAAUCCCAGGGCUCAACCCUGGACAGGCGGUGGAAACUACCAAGCUGGAGUACGGUAGGGGCAGAGGGAAUUUCCAGUGGAGCGGUGAAAUGCGUUGAGAUCGAAAAGAACACCAACAGCGAAAGCACUCUGCUGGGACGACACUGACACUAAGAGACGAAAGCUAGGGGAGCAAAUGGGAUUAGAUACCCCUGUAGUCCCUGUCUCUUAUAA